AGUUACACCAUCUCUAUUAGCUUAAACUUUUAGAGUAGAUUAGCAUGGCCCCUGAGCAAGGAUGACAUGCACAAUUCGAGAAAAUGGUCCAAAUUUUU